GACAGAGGGUGCAAACGUUGUUCGGAAUUACUGGGCGUAAAGCGCGUGUAGGCGGCCCUGCAAGUCGGAUGUGAAAUCCCACGGCUCAACCGUGGAAGUGCAUUCGAAACUGCAGGGCUAGAGUCCUGGAGAGGAAGGUGGAAUGCUUGGUGUAGAGGUGAAAUUCGUAGAUAUCAAGCGGAACACCGGUGGCGAAGGCGGCCUUCUGGACAGUGACUGACGCUGAGGCGCGAAAGCGUGGGGAGCAAACGGG
rnacentral:rRNA from 1 species